UGAGGAAUAUUGGUCAAUGGGCGAGAGCCUGAACCAGCCAAGUCGCGUGAAGGAAGACUGCCUUAUGGGUUGUAAACUUCUUUUAUACAGGAAUAAAAAGGCUUACGUGUAGGCCAUUGCAAGUACUGUAUGAAUAAGCAUCGGCUAACUCCGUGCCAGCAGCCGCGGUAAUACGGAGGAUGCGAGCGUUAUCCGGAUUUAUUGGGUUUAAAGGGUGCGCAGGCGGGCUUUUAAGUCAGCGGUGAAAUCUGGACGCUUAACGUCCAAACUGCCGUUGAAACUGGGAGUCUUGAGUAUGGAUGAAGUAGGCGGAAUUCGUUGUGUAGCGGUGACAUGCAUAGAUAUAACGAGGAACUCCGAUUGCGUAGGCAGCUUACUAAGCCAUAACUGACGCUCAUGCACGAAAGCGUGGGGAUCAAACAGGAUUAGAUACCCUGGUAGUCCACGCCGUAAAACGAUGAUUACUAGUUGUAUGCGAUAUGAUAGUAUGUGACUAAGCGAAAGCGAUAAGUAAUCCACCUGGGGAGUACGCCGCAACGGUGAAA
rnacentral:rRNA from 1 species